rnacentral:tRNA from 1 species
GCGCCCAUAGCUCAACUGGAUAGAGCAUUUGACUACGGAUCAAAAGGUUGGGGGUUCGAAUCCCUUUGGGCGUA